rnacentral:tRNA from 1 species
GUUGUGGCUCAGUGGUAGAGCACUUGCUUAGCAUGUGCAAGAUACUGGGUUCAAUCCUCAGUUCCACA